AACGAACGCUGGCGGCAUGCCUAGCACAUGCAAGUCGAACGAAACCUUCGGGUCUAGUGGCGCACGGGUUCGUAACGCGUGGGAACCUUCCCUUAGGUUCGGCAUAACUCCCCGAAUGGGGUGCUAAUACCGGAUAAUGUCUUCGGACCAAAGAUUUAUCGCCUUUGGAUGUGCCCGCGUUGGAUUAGCUAGUUGGUAGGGUAAAAGCCUACCAAGGCGACGAUCCAUAGCUGGUCUGAGAGGAUGAUCAGCCACACUGGGACUGAGACACGGCCCAGACUCCUACGGGAGGCAGCAGUGGGGAAUAUUGGACAAUGGGCGAAAGCAUGAUCCAGCAAGGCCGCGUGAGUGAUGAAGGCCUUAGGGUUGUAAAGCUCUUUUAACCGGGAUGAUAAUGACAGUACCGGGAGAAUAAGCCCCGGCUAACUCCGUG
rnacentral:rRNA from 1 species